ACGGGUGAGUAAUACAUCGGAACGUGCCCAGUAGUGGGGGAUAGCCCGGCGAAAGCCGGAUUAAUACCGCAUACGACCUACGGGUGAAAGCGGGGGAUCGCAAGACCUCGCGCUAUUGGAGCGGCCGAUGUCAGAUUAGCUAGUUGGUGGGGUAAAAGCCUACCAAGGCGACGAUCUGUAGCUGGUCUGAGAGGACGACCAGCCACACUGGGACUGAGACACGGCCCAGACUCCUACGGGAGGCAGCAGUGGGGAAUUUUGGACAAUGGGCGCAAGCCUGAUCCAGCCAUGCCGCGUGUGGGAAGAAGGCCUUCGGGUUGUAAACCACUUUUGUCAGGGAAGAAACGGUCUGAUCUAAUAAAUUGGACUAAUGACGGUACCUGAAGAAUAAGCACCGGCUAACUACGUGCCAGCAGCCGCGGUAAUACGUAGGGUGCAAGCGUUAAUCGGAAUUACUGGGCGUAAAGCGUGCGCAGGCGGCUAUGCAAGACAGAUGUGAAAUCCCCGGGCUCAACCUGGGAACUGCAUUUGUGACUGCAUGGCUAGAGUACGGUAGAGGGGGAUGGAAUUCCGCGUGUAGC
rnacentral:rRNA from 1 species